UCUCGGGCGGUGGGGUGGGCGCGGAAUUUGGAGACCCACUUCGGGAAAGUCAGGAUGGUGGUGCCUUCGCUGAAGCUUCAGGACCUCAUCGAAGAGAUUCGCGGGGCCAAGACUCAGGCCCAGGAGCGGGAGGUGAUCCAAAAGGAGUGUGCCCACAUCCGGGCCUCCUUCCGCGACGGGGACCCAGUGCACAGGCACCGGCAGCUGGCCAAACUGCUCUACGUCCACAUGUUGGGCUACCCCGCCCACUUUGGACAGAUGGAGUGCCUGAAACUGAUCGCCUCCUCCAGAUUCACAGACAAGAGGGUGGGCUACCUGGGGGCCAUGCUUCUAUUGGAUGAGAGGCACGAUGCCCACCUGCUCAUUACCAACAGCAUCAAGAAUGACCUGAGCCAGGGGAUUCAGCCAGUACAAGGCCUGGCCUUGUGCACUUUGAGCACCAUGGGCUCUGCUGAGAUGUGCCGAGACCUGGCCCCAGAGGUGGAGAAACUGCUCCUGCAGCCCAGUCCCUACGUGCGCAAGAAGGCUAUUCUGACUGCAGUGCACAUGAUCCGGAAGGUCCCUGAACUCUCCAGUGUCUUCCUCCCACCCUGUGCCCAACUGCUUCAUGAGCGUCACCAUGGUAAGGCUGUGGGGCCCCCCAUCCUUUGCUUCAGGUCUAUGGACAGAAGAAUUGAAAAUCGGAUGGGAACCCCAGCUCAUAGGAGAAUGGUAGUGCACACACACAGGCACACACGCAAUAGACUCUCUUGCCC
rnacentral:sRNA from 1 species